UAGUAUAGAGUUCAGUGUUAAUCACACGGUCGCCAUCUUUGAUUUUUCUCGCCCGGGUCAGGAAUCGUGACCCAACCAAAUAGUACGGGCUAAGAAGUUAUAGCCCGAGUCACCCGGAAUCGGAGCGCUCCUAUUGGUUGAUAGUUUCGCGUCGUCUGCUCUGGUCUGCAGUCAAGUAAACAACACAACUAAAUGCAAAUAAUUAUGGAGGAUUAUUACGAAUACAAACAUGAGUUUGUUUUUGAAGGCAUAUUUUAUAAAAUGAUUGGAAAGUAGGAAAUUCACACAUUAUUGGCUGCUUGGACUUCUUCCAGUCCUAUCUGAAACAAAACUAUGGCCACAUCGAGAUGGCUGGUUUAGCAGCAGAAGUCACCACAGAGGGUCAUGUGUGGACUACUGAUGCAACAAAAGUGAAAUUUAUUUGGGAUUAAAAGUUAACAGACCGUUGUGCAACCCGGUGAUAAUCUUGUAUUAAAGGAAGUUCUUAUGUAGCAAGCACAAGUUAUGAAGUUGGUAAAGGCUAUUAUUAAUUACAUCAGAUGACUUUUGUUGCUGCAAGAGUGUCGACCAUGUUCAUCUACUGAAGCUGCAAUGACAUCCACUAUCUCUUAGAAUGUUCUAUGAGCAGUACUUUGAGAAAAAUAUUAUAUCUGUCAGCAGCAGCUAAGAAUGUCUCUGGUUUGCUCAACAUCCAAACUGUAAAAAGUAUUUUCUCCUCAAGAGGUAUUUUUAUAUUUGCAGGCUGGUUAAUUCUCC
rnacentral:lncRNA from 1 species